ACACCUCAACUCUCAUGUUCCACCAUGAUGAGCUUGGACUUUGGAGGUCUUGCUGGCCAGUGGCCAGCUCCUCUCAAAUGAAUCAGCUUGCCAGUGUUUGGCGGCACCACAGGUGUGAUAACUAUCUACGCUUGUGGUUUCCCUGCCAGGUGUCCCUUCAGCAAUGGAGGUCCACUGGAGCUCAUAAAUGUCUCCCCACAGAGAGGACAACUUCUUGAAU
rnacentral:misc_RNA from 1 species